CUUAAUGUUUGUUGUUUUUUAUUGUUGAGCUUAUAUAUCUCAAUAUUAAUAAUAUCUGAUUAAUUUUGAGUUUUGAACUUGAGCCAAAACACUCAAGCUUUCUAAAUAUAUGUUGGUUAUGUGUCUAUUCAGAAUGACUCAUGAGCAGCAACCUUUUUAUUUUGGGUAGGCUAUGUCAUGUGCAUUACUUGCCAAAAUUGGGGCUGGCUGGUUAACUCAUAAAUGCGUACCAUGGGAUUUUUAUUUUACAAACAUCAGGGCUUAUUUUUUUCUUCGGAAGCAGGAGAGAUAAACGUGCAAGUUUCCAGAGCUGUUUCUGAGCUGCAGGGCGAAAUCAAAGCACCGGCAGAGUGGGCGGGGUUUACCCAGUCUAGAAAGAUCUAGAAUCUGUGGGGAAAAAGCGCGAAAGAAGCAGCACUUGAAUUUCUGACUCGUCGUCAGUGACAGACAAGCUCCUUAAUUCUCAAAUUUACGUUUCUUUACACACGGCUUUGUCUUGUAGUUAUAUUUAUUUUGUUUUCGUCUUUGUGUGGAUUUCUUUAACUUUUUUCCUGAGAGGAAUUCAGCGAAACCGUUUCCGUGAGAGCUCCGACGGAGACGUUUUCACAGCCUUUAACGUUAAGCUCCGUUAAUAACAGACUAUUAACAAAUUUACGUUUCUUUACACACGGCUUUGUCUUGUGGUUGUAAAGUUAUUUAAUUUGUUUUCGUCUUUGUGUUGAUAUCUUUAACUUUUUGCCUGAGAGGAAUUCAGCGAAAACGUUUUUGUGAGAGCUCCGACGGAGACGUUUUCACAGCCUUUAACGUUAACGUUAAUGUAUUUUUCCCACCCGUGGCCUCUGCUGGAGUUUCCAUCUUGGAAUCGCAGAUCCUUCACUAACUGCUUAUCGGGACUUCCAGAAAAUCAGAGAGACAAUCCUGACUGCAAAAAAAUGGAUGCUGUCGAUCGAGGGGAGGGUCGCAUGGCGGAUCCCACUGCCUUGGACGCUCUCUUCGCCUGUUACUAUGUAUUCAACCUAGAGUAUCAGGUGGAAGCCAGCACAACAUUGGAGUUUGUUCAGAGGUUUUUAGUCAGGAUUAAUCCUGACUCCAACAAGUGCACUGCCAAGGAGCAGAUGAGCAAGACGACUGGGAGAGUGGUGAAGCGGAAGACUUCUUACAUGAACCCCCAUGUAAUCUCCUUCAUCAGGGACUUCACGGAGUUCUAUUUGCUAACUGACUAGAUACAGGGCUCCAAUUAGGAUUCUAGGUCUCCAAGGUCAGGGCAUGCAAAAGGCCAUAGACCUUUGUCAAGCGGCAGGGGAAGUUUAUUUUCCUUUCUGUUUUAAAUGUUCAUGCAAAUGUUAAAUAUAAAAUUUUUUAAUGUUCAAUGUUUUAUUUUAUUUCAAUAUUGCCAGUGUUAUUUAUUGCUCUUUAGAAUGUGGUAAUAAUCAGUUAUAUGCACAGCUUUAAAGUAGUUCAAUUUUUUGACCGUAUUGUAUCAAUUUGCAUUAUGUUCCAUCAUAGCAACCAGUCAUGUGGAACUAGUGAAUGAACUAGUAACAGUUUGCUCUGUAACUUUACAAAACUUGUAAUGAAAUAGCCUCUUUUGUAAAAAAAUUUCUUCAGUCGUAAAUUAAAUUUAGCAACAGUAGAAUAAGUGGAUAAUAGACUUCACGCCAUUAGAAAUUACAAACAUAGAAUGUGUUAACUUUGGAUGGUAUAAUGGCAUGUUGUCCAACCUGUUUUGUCAUUCCUGUUCACCAAAUGUUUUUAAAUAAAUAACUGUUAACAAUUUU